GAUGAACGCUGGCGGCGUGCCUAAUACAUGCAAGUCGAGCGAACGGACGAGAAGCUUGCUUCUCUGAUGUUAGCGGCGGACGGGUGAGUAACACGUGGAUAACCUACCUAUAAGACUGGGAUAACUUCGGGAAACCGGAGCUAAUACCGGAUACUAUUUUGAACCGCAUGGUUCAAAAGUGAAAGACGGUCUUGCUGUCACUUAUAGAUGGAUCCGCGCUGCAUUAGCUAGUUGGUAAGGUAACGGCUUACCAAGGCAACGAUGCAUAGCCGACCUGAGAGGGUGAUCGGCCACACUGGAACUGAGACACGGUCCAGACUCCUACGGGAGGCAGCAGUAGGGAAUCUUCCGCAAUGGGCGAAAGCCUGACGGAGCAACGCCGCGUGAGUGAUGAAGGUCUUCGGAUCGUAAAACUCUGUUAGUAGGGAAGAACAUAUGUGUAAGUAACUGUGCACAUCUUGACGGUACCUAAUCAGAAAGCCACGGCUAACUACGUG
rnacentral:rRNA from 1 species